rnacentral:rRNA from 1 species
UGGCUCAGGACGAACGCUGGCGGCGUGCUUAACACAUGCAAGUCGAACGGUGAACCUGCUUCGGUGGGGGAUCAGUGGCGAACGGGUGAGUAACACGUGGGCAACCUGCCCUCAGCUCUGGGAUAACUCCAAGAAAUUGGGGCUAAUACCGGAUAUGACCGCUGACCGCAUGGUCUGGUGGUGGAAAGAUUUAUCGGCUGGGGAUGGGCCCGCGGCCUAUCAGCUUGUUGGUGGGGUAGUGGCCUACCAAGGCGACGACGGGUAGCCGGCCUGAGAGGGUGACCGGCCACACUGGGACUGAGACACGGCCCAGACUCCUACGGGAGGCAGCAGUGGGGAAUAUUGCGCAAUGGGCGAAAGCCUGACGCAGCGACGCCGCGUGGGGGAUGACGGCCUUCGGGUUGUAAACCUCUUUCAGCAGGGACGAAGCGAAAGUGAC